CCAACCUGUCAAGCUGCUUUGAUUUCGACUUCAAGAAUUACUACUACGACUGAAAAUACACAACGCAGAGUCUGUCCGAACAUUUAGAAAUAAGCUGAAAUCUAACAUUUGGUGCCGUGACACCGUCUUGAAGAGAGAGGAGUGAGAAGACGAUUGCCUCUGAAGAUUGCCCUGUGACCGAGAAGAGCGCGCGCCCUGCCUGGGAAGACGUCUGAUCAACGCCUGCCCUGCCGAGGGACCCGCAUCCACAACGCGGCUGAACCAGCGCAUCUCCAUGCACCACUUGGGAAUCAACGGUGACUGAAUCUCAUUCCACACUCUCGACCAAGGGAAAAGAACAAGAAAGUAAUCUUAAAAUAAUCUACACACACAUAACUGUGAUUAUUAUUAUUUGUUUUACUA
ensembl:lncRNA